AUCAUGAACAAAAUGCUUAAAAUCACCCCGUCUUGUAACACGGACCAAGGAGUGCAACGUAUGUGUGAGUUUUUGAAUAGGUAAAUUCAAAAGCGUAAGGAAACUAAAUGAGGUGUGAUCGAAGUAAUAUUCGUGCAACAUCGACCAAUCAGAAUCCUCGGAAACAGAUUUGAGUAUGAACACAUACGCUGCGACCCGAAAGAUGGUGAACUAUGCCCGAGUAGGGUGAAGUCAGGGGAAACCCUGAUGGAGGCUCGAAGCGGUUCUGACGUGCAAAUCGAUCGUCAAAACUUGGGUAUAGGGGCGAAAGACUAAUCGAACCAUCUAGUAGCUGGUUCCUCCCGAAAUUUCCCUUAGGAUAGCACCAACCGACGUGAAGUAGUUGCAUCUGGUAAAAGCGAAUGAUUAAAGAAUUGGGGGGCGCAAAUGCCCUUCGUCUGUUCUCAAACUUUGAAUAGGGUGGCGACGUGUUAUGUUG
rnacentral:rRNA from 1 species